rnacentral:rRNA from 1 species
AUGAACGCUAGCGGCAGGCCUAAUACAUGCAAGUCGAACGAUACCAGGGAGCUUGCUCUCUGGGAAAGUGGCGCACGGGUGCGUAACGCGUAUGCAACCUACCUUUAUCAGGGGGAUAGCCUCUCGAAAGAGAGAUUAACACCGCAUAAAAUCAAAGAACGGCAUCGUUUAAUGAUCAAAUAUUUAUAGGAUAAAGAUGGGCAUGCGUGACAUUAGCUAGUUGGUGAGGUAACGGCUCACCAAGGCGACGAUGUCUAGGGGAUCUGAGAGGAUGACCCCCCACACUGGUACUGAGACACGGACCAGACUCCUACGGGAGGCAGCAGUAAGGAAUAUUGGUCAAUGGAGGCAACUCUGAACCAGCCAUGCCGCGUGCAGGAAGACGGCCCUAUGGGUUGUAAACUGCUUUUAUUCGGGAAUAAACCUCUUUACGUGUAGAGAGUUGAAUGUACCGAAAGAAUAAGGAUCGGCUAACUCCGU